CCAGACUCCUACGGGAGGCAGCAGUGGGGAAUAUUGCACAAUGGGGGAAACCCUGAUGCAGCGACGCCGCGUGAAGGACGAAGUAUUUCGGUACGUAAACUUCUAUCAGCAGGGAAGAAAAUGACGGUACCUGACCAAGAAGCCCCGGCUAACUACGUGCCAGCAGCCGCGGUAAUACGUAGGGGGCAAGCGUUAUCCGGAUUUACUGGGUGUAAAGGGAGCGUAGACGGCCAUGCAAGUCUGAUGUGAAAACCCGGGGCUCAACCCCGGGACUGCAUUGGAAACUGUGCGGCUGGAGUGUCGGAGAGGCAAGUGGAAUUCCUAGUGUAGCGGUGAAAUGCGUAGAUAUUAGGAGGAACACCAGUGGCGAAGGCGGCCUGCUGGACAGUAACUGACGUUGAGGCUCGAAAGCGUGGGGAGCAAACAGGAUUAGAUACCCGUGUAA
rnacentral:rRNA from 1 species